UGGGGAAUAUUGCACAAUGGGCGCAAGCCUGAUGCAGCCAUGCCGCGUGUAUGAAGAAGGCCUUCGGGUUGUAAAGUACUUUCAGCGAGGAGGAAGGCGUUGUGGUUAAUAACCGCAACGAUUGACGUUACUCGCAGAAGAAGCACCGGCUAACUCCGUGCCAGCAGCCGCGGUAAUCCGGAGGGUGCAAGCGUUAAUCGGAAUUACUGGGCGUAAAGCGCACGCAGGCGGUCUGUCAAGUCGGAUGUGAAAUCCCCGGGCUCAACCUGGGAACUGCAUCCGAAACUGGCAGGCUAGAGUCUUGUAGAGGGGGGUAGAAUUCCAGGUGUAGCGGUGAAAUGCGUAGAGAUCUGGAGGAAUACCGGUGGCGAAGGCGGCCCCCUGGACAAAGACUGACGCUCAGGUGCGAAAGCGUGGGGAGCAAACA
rnacentral:rRNA from 1 species